rnacentral:rRNA from 1 species
AACGAACGCUGGCGGCAUGCCUAACACAUGCAAGUCGAACGAGACCUUCGGGUCUAGUGGCGCACGGGUGCGUAACGCGUGGGAACCUUCCCUUAGGUUCGGAAUAACUCCCCGAAAGGGGUGCUAAUACCGGAUAAUGUCUUCGGACCAAAGAUUUAUCGCCUUUGGAUGGGCCCGCGUUGGAUUAGCUAGUUGGUAGGGUAAAAGCCUACCAAGGCGACGAUCCAUAGCUGGUCUGAGAGGAUGAUCAGCCACACUGGGACUGGGACACGGCCCAGGCUCCUACGGGAGGGAGCAGUGGGGGAUAAUGGAAAAUGGGGGGAAGCCUGAUCCAGCAAUGCCGCGUGAGUGAUUAAGGCCUUAGGGUUGUAAAACUCUUUUACCCGGGAAGAUAAUGAAAGUAACGGGAGAAUAAGCUCCGGCUAAACCCGUG